GACGAACGCUUGCGGCGUGCUUAACACAUGCAAGUCGAACGGAAAGGCCCUGCUUUUGUGGGGUGCUCGAGUGGCGAACGGGUGAGUAACACGUGAGUAACCUGCCCUUGACUUUGGGAUAACUUCAGGAAACUGGGGCUAAUACCGGAUAGGAGCUCCUGCUGCAUGGUGGGGGUUGGAAAGUUUCGGCGGUUGGGGAUGGACUCGCGGCUUAUCAGCUUGUUGGUGGGGUAGUGGCUUACCAAGGCUUUGACGGGUAGCCGGCCUGAGAGGGUGACCGGCCACAUUGGGACUGAGAUACGGCCCAGACUCCUACGGGAGGCAGCAGUGGGGAAUAUUGCACAAUGGGCGGAAGCCUGAUGCAGCAACGCCGCGUGCGGGAUGACGGCCUUCGGGUUGUAAACCGCUUUCGCCUGUGACGAAGCGUGAGUGACGGUAAUGGGUAAAGAAGCACCGGCUAACUACGUGCCAGCAGCCGCGGUGAUACGUAGGGUGCGAGCGUUGUCCGGAUUUAUUGGGCGUAAAGGGCUCGUAGGUGGUUGAUCGCGUCGGAAGUGUAAUCUUGGGGCUUAACCCUGAGCGUGCUUUCGAUACGGGUUGACUUGAGGAAGGUAGGGGAGAAUGGAAUUCCUGGUGGAGCGGUGGAAUGCGCAGAUAUCAGGAGGAACACCAGUGGCGAAGGCGGUUCUCUGGGCCUUUCCUGACGCUGAGGAGCGAAAGCGUGGGGAGCGAACAGGCUUAGAUACCCUGGUAGUCCACGCUGUAAACGGUGGGUACUAGGUGUGGGGUCCAUUCCACGGGUUCCGUGCCGUAGCUAACGCUUUAAGUACCCCGCCUGGGGAGUACGGCCGCAAGGCUAAAACUCAAAGGAAUUGACGGGGCCCCGCACAAGCGGCGGAGCAUGCGGAUUAAUUCGAUGCAACGCGUAGAACCUUACCUGGGUUUGACAUGGAUCGGGAGUGCUCAGAGAUGGGUGUGCCUCUUUUGGGGUCGGUUCACAGGUGGUGCAUGCCUGUCGUCAGCUCGUGUCGUGAGAUGUUGGGUUAAGUCCCGCAACGAGCGCAACCCUUGUUCACUGUUGCCAGCACGUUAUGGUGGGGACUCAGUGGAGACCGCCGGGGUCAACUCGGAGGAAGGUGGGGAUGACGUCAAGUCCUCAUGCCCCUUAUGUCCAGGGCUUCACGCAUGCUACAAUGGCUGGUACAGAGAGUGGCGAGCCUGCGAGGGUGAGCGAAUCUCGGAAAGCCGGUCUCAGUUCGGAUUGGGGUCUGCAACUCGACCUCAUGAAGUCGGAGUCGCUAGUAAUCGCAGAUCAGCAACGCUGCGGUGAAUACGUUCCCGGGGCU
rnacentral:rRNA from 1 species